rnacentral:rRNA from 1 species
UACGUAGGGUGCAAGCGUUGUCCGGAAUUAUUGGGCGUAAAGAGCUCGUAGGCGGUCUGUCGCGUCGGAUGUGAAAAUCCAGGGCUCAACCCUGGACCUGCAUUCGAUACGGGCAGACUAGAGUUCGGUAGGGGAGACUGGAAUUCCUGGUGUAGCGGUGAAAUGCGCAGAUAUCAGGAGGAACACCGGUGGCGAAGGCAGCCCCCUGGGUCAACACUGACGCUCAUGCACGAAAGCGUGGGGAGCAAACAGG